AUGAGAAAUGUGUUUUACUUACAUGAGCCUGUGUUUUUCACCUCAGGUGGAGUGACAAACCCAGAAGGCCAGCUGCUGCUGUCACGCGGAGCACUGCAGGUAGACCGUGCCCAUAGCUUUGGUAUCUCCCCACAUCCUGUGGCCCCCAUUCUCACUGACACGACGUGGCCGGGAAAUAAACAAAGACCAGACUGUGCACGGGAAGAGGUAACGGGCUCACGGCUCGGCUCAAGGGGACAGCAGCACGUGGGACGAUAAAGGUAAGAGAGUUUCCUCAGGCCUGAAACGUUCAACUUUAUACAGUCCUUUAAACUCUUACUGAAGGGCCACAUACCGCUAAGAUUUAAAGCAGUGUCACUGAUAUUUACAACAUGUCGCUAACUUUCCUGCUUUUCAGAGUUGUUCGUAAGAAUCGGACACAAAGAGACAAAACCAUUGCCUUUGGGUUAACCAGGUUUGGGUCUGUGCCAUUUAUUUAAGUUGCUCUUUGACAAACUAGCAAAAACUAGUUCAUGUAUGUUUACAUGGUUCUGCAUUGCCUAAGGAGGCAGAGCGGUUGGAAGGAAGGUGCUGGCGCACCCAGCAUGGGCUGAAAGGCAGUUCUAAGGGCACGUUUUUCUCUCAAAAUUUCAGGCAGUUUUUGUGGUUUCCUAAUUUGUGCUCAACCCCACUCCUACGUGCUUGACCAUU
rnacentral:lncRNA from 1 species